GGGGAGCGAACAGGAAUUAGAUAAACUUGGGUAGUCCACGCCCGUAAACGAUGAGUGCUUAGGUGUUAGGUCCUUUUCCGGGACUUUAGUGCCGCAGCUAACGCAUUAAGCACUCCGCCUGGGGAGUACGCCCGCAAGGUUGAAACUCAAAGGAAUUGACGGGGGCCCGCACAAGCGGUGGAGCAUGUGGUUUAAUUCGAAGCAACGCGAAGAACCUUACCAGGUCUUGACAUCCCAGUGACUGCCCUAGAGAUAGGGUUUCCCUUCGGGGCACUGGUGACAGGUGGUGCAUGGUUGUCGUCAGCUCGUGUCGUGAGAUGUUGGGUUAAGUCCCGCAACGAGCGCAACCCUUAUUGUUAGUUGCCAUCAUUGAGUUGGGCACUCUAGCGAGACUGCCGGUAAUAAACCGGAGGAAGGUGGGGAUGACGUCAAAUCAUCAUGCCCCUUAUGACCUGGGCUACACACGUGCUACAAUGGCUGGUACAACGAGUCGCAAGCCGGUGACGGCAAGCUAAUCUCUGAAAGCCAGUCUCAGUUCGGAUUGUAGGCUGCAACUCGCCUACAUGAAGUCGGAAUCGCUAGUAAUCGCGGAUCAGCACGCCGCGGUGAAUACGUUCCCGGGCCUUGUACACACCGCCCGUCACACCACGAGAGUUUGUAACACCCGAAGUCGGUGAGGUAACCGUAAGGAGCCAGCCGCCCU
rnacentral:rRNA from 1 species